AAGCUUUGCUCGUCUCCGGGGUGAUUUACGGCGGUUCAGGACCCUGAUAAGACCCCGCCCUUGACGCCAAGAUCCUGGAUCUGGAGGAGUGAGGCGGCCUCAGCCCAGCAGUGCCAAGCCUUUGGAAAACAGGCUCCUCUCCAGCUGCCAGGAGUGGCCCGGGCUGGGCGAGCGGCGCGUCUGAGCCAGGGCGCGCGGAGCCGCUCCCAGAUUGAUUAUUGAUUGACAUUGUUUGGCAAAGGAUAUCAAAGAGACCCACCUGCAGUCACCUGGAGUCUCCUUUGGACCAGCGCUCGGUACCAAGCACGAGCCCCUUGAGCUCCAGGCUUCAUGGCACCUUUCAGGUGCCUGGGUGCAUUGCUAAGUCUGACCAGCCUAAUCUGAUUGAACGGACACCAAGAGGAAAAGCCGUCAUAAGCACCUUGAAGCCCAUCUUAACUCAAGCGCUGGCUCUGGCUUCCCCCGGUUAUAACUAGACAUUUUUUUUCUCUUUGUACUGAAGAUAAAGGAAAUGCUUAAGGGGUAUGAACCCCAAAACGUGGUGAUCAACAUGGAUUCAUAGGAUAUUACUCUCAGCUGUUAGACUCAGUAGCCAAAGGACUUCUACCUUGAAUAAGGGCUAUUUCAGCAGCGGCUCUCUUCUGUAAGCUAUUGAAGACAUAGUCAUGGGGGUUCCUUUAAGUGUUUCUAUCCCACACUCAGUUGAGUUUCUUCUAAACUCUCACCACGCUCAGCACUAUUCUGUAAGCUGAAUGUUAUGUACAUAUAUUCUUAGGUGCUAUUGUUACUUUCUCCCCUAAUAUUACCUUAGUUCAAUGUAAUAACCUUACCUCUGCAGCUUUGUUUCUGACACCACAGGAAGAAAAUGACCACGACUGCAUUUUACUAACAUGCUCCCAAGAAUGACUUACAAGAAACCAUUAUCAGGAGUUCCCGUCGUGGCGCAGUGGUUAACGAAUCUGACU